GUUACUGCACGGACGUAUGUCGCGGCAGUUGGACGACGACGACGGUGACGACGCUGAGUAGUGAAAGAGACAGAAUAUAUCAGAAGUUGUGCUGUUUUUCGUUUUUAUGAAAUUCACUCGGCCUCGUCUUUGACUUCGUCACAGCAGUCACAUUUGAGCGCCAGUGUUAGUGACAGUUCGGUUGAAUGUUGAACGUUGACGGUGGCGGCGAGGCUAUGAGGUUGUGCUGUUGACAUUUGGUAUCGAGGCAGUAAACUGUGAAAGGGUACAAAGUCACAACGCGGCGAAGUCGUUAAAAGUAGAGUACAAAUUAAUCUAGCAACGUAAAAGGUGAAAAUUGCUGAAAUUUUUGUUUUGCGAAAAAUAAGAAUUUUUCAAAGUCAACGAGAGAAGAGCAAAAAGUGCUUUUCAGAAAAAAAAAGAAAAAAUAGAAAUUAAAAUAAAUAAGUGUGAAAAAUGUGAAUGCAAAAUUAAGAUGGACUAAAAAUUUGCCAAGUAUUAAAAAGCGCGUUGAGCGGCGAGCAGUAUUUCGUUUUCGACGCAACUUUGAGUUUGUGUUUUGUGUAUGUUUUGCAAAUAAAUCAACUUGAAGUGUAUAAUAAGUGUUGGCAGGCAGACAACAACAACAACAAAAGCAAAAGCCGUUGUACCAAGACGACAGCGUCCUUUGCGGCGGAACGUGUGUGCAAGCGUGUGUGUGGGGCAGCGGCAGCCGGCAGCGGCGCUAGCAGUGGAUCCAGACGCCAGGCACUUAAGCAGCGAGACGAAUGUGCAGAAGAUGGCAAUAAAUCAAUGGAAGUAGGAAGCGCAAAAGCGAAAAGUGGUUAGUGUUGUGGAAAUAGUUUCGGAAAGCAAAAAUACGACAUUGGUUUUCGAAAUACCGUUACAUAAAAAGUUAGAAAACGACGAGCGAAAUAUAAAUUAUUUGAUUAACUCGCUCCGUGCGCUUCGUCUUCUUCCUUAACUCCCUCCUCUGCAGGCCGCCCAGCGCUUUGUUGGCGUACGUGUGUUUGUCGCCUAAAUGUGUCGCUCAGCUGUCUGCUCCACAAGAACAACAAGAACAACAACAACAAAUACAUACGAAAUCAUCUGCCACUGCGACAUUGACGUCAGCUCCGCGAAAGUCGUGCAGUUUUAAAAAAGCAUUUCACUGGAUUAAAUGAUAUCGACCAAUAUGCCACGCGCUAAAUGACGACGACACCUUUAAACGACGGAUAGCGCGGGAUGUAUCAGUUUUGUUUGUGAUAUUUGCUUUCCCUGAGUUAAAGACGUACGUUAAGCUUAAGCGAGAUUGUCGUAGACACCUAUCUACAUAUUUUGUUAAAUGAGUGUGGAUUCACAUUUAUUCUUUAUACCGUCUCUAUAUAUUCACU